rnacentral:rRNA from 1 species
UACGUAGGUGACAAGCGUUAUCCGGAAUUACUGGGCGUAAAGCGCACGCAGGCGGCGCACUAAGUCUGACGUGAAAUCUCUCGGCUUAACCGGGAGGGGUCGUUGGAGACUGGUGGGCUUGAGGCGAUGAGAGGGGUGUAGAAUUCCCGGUGUAGUGGUGGAAUGCGUAGAUAUCGGGAGGAAUACCAGUGGCGAAAGCGGCACCCUGGCAUUAGCCUGACGCUCAUGUGCGAAAGCGUGGGGAGCGAACGGGAUUAGAUACCCCGGUAGUCCACGCUGUAAACGAUGAGUACUAGGUGUGGGUUGAGUGAAAUCAAUCUGUGCCGAAGCAAACGCGCUAAGUACUCCGCCUGGGGAGUACGGCCGCAAGGCUAAA